AAGACUGGUGGAAAAUAAUUAAGUACAUUUACUCGAGUACUGUAUUCAAGUACAAUUUUGAGGUACUUGUACUUUACUUUCCAUGUAUUUCCAUGUGAUGCUACUGUAACUGACCGCUAAUUCCUACCGUCUAUAAGUCUGAAGUUGCCUCCUAUUUCUAGUUAAUUUACAUUUGUUGUUUAUUUAUUCCUUAGUUGUUAUUUGAUAGUUUUGAAUUGAAGCUCUUCCUGCGUAGUAACCUGCAUUUCCCGCAAGGUGGCAGACAAUCCCCCUGCUGCCCGUGAUUAAUCGACUAGGUGAACCCGUGUAUAUUAGAUCUACUCACCUGCCGUUUAGCGUUAAUUAGCCCGGUGUGCUCAGCAGAGACACAUGCAGAGAGAGUUGGAGCGAUGUUAAUGUUAUCCAGACACAAGGAGAUGUAUCCAGGGUCGAGACGAGAAAAAACUACCUGAAAUCUUGGCUAACAGCCUCGGUGAGCGGAAUGAAUCUUCAUGGUGCAUGAGAUGAUGACUGAUGAGAAAUAAACGAACUGUGAAGCAUCA